UCAUCUUCAUGCUCGAUAGUGGCAGCCUGACUUCGGCGGCUCAUUCUUCCACAUGUGGUUCCCCCUUCUCCCUUUUCCUGCCUCCCUUGUUUAUUUAUUUCCCGUUUCUUCCUUUCUCUGCAUGUGUAUGGUUGAACCAAUAUAAUGAAACCCAGGCACAACUGCACAACUUGUUAGUUAAAGAUGUAAAUUUGUUUAUGUCGUCCACUUUUUUUCGUGCUUGGGUGGGCAUCGGUGGUGUACCCCCCUGCUCCCAUUCAUAUUGAACAAAUUUAAUAAGUAUUUAGUUAUUUGAGAUUAGCUAUAGCUGUAGUUUCAUCGCUAAAAAAGCUAUAGUUCUACUAUUUCCCAAAGAUAGAAUUAAGUUUAAUAAAUGAAUAUGAAAUAGGUGCCAUUGCAUUAUAUACGUCAACUAUAACGAUGCGUGGAUGUUGUCACUAUUGGCUUGUUCAAAAGAAUAAGCUUCAGAUAUUAGAUAUAUAGUGUCCACAAUUGGUACUAUUGAGCUAUUUCCAUCAAAUGUUGAUGCAUGUUUCCAGUACUUCUGGCAGUAGUAGUUCAUAUUCAUUUUGCGGCUUCCGCCAUAUUAGCAUAGAAAAGCCAUUUUUAUUUUGAAUAUAGUUUGCACUGUACUAAUUUUCCAUCCACUUAUGGUUACCUAAAAAGGCUAGUAGCAAGUGUAAGUGUGUUUUUAGUUCCUACCUUUAGAAUAUUUUGGUGUAGCCUAUGUUGUUGACCACAUCAUCCUUGUUGUUGGUUCAUUUGUGCUAUAGAAAAUAAAAUAAUAGAUGUGAUCAAGUCAGUAGGUUAUCACUUGCGAUUGGUUUUCCAAACUAUUCCCUUCCUCUUAUGUCUCUCAUGAAGUCCUUUAGCUUUAUGUAGAAAUUCGGUCAACAAUAUCAGGUCUUUGUGAUGUUGCUUGGCAUACUUCCUGUAGCACAGAUUCAAUCUCCGGCCAAGCCGCGUUACACGUGAAUGUCGCAAAUAAAUCUGUGUAUCCAGCCCACCCAUAUAUUACAUAAGAUUUUGGUAGUUUAAUGACUUGUGUCUUGGGCUAUCUGUGGAAGUUGGAUGGCACAUGGUAGUAGUAUUGUCCUUCGUACAUUGUCAGCCCUUGUAUCUCCUCUUUCUUUUGUGUCUUGCAGGCCAGCAUAUAAUUCCGUUCUUAGGUUUCCUUGAUGUAUUUUGAUCCAGUCUAGUAUGUACUGCAAAAUUCAAGCAAAGGCACUGUAAUUUAAGCUUUUUGCACACCAUCAAGUGUUUCAAUUGGUUAGUACGUUGUUAUAUAUGAUUCUUAUAGCAUUCCAAAAUUGUUGCAUGCUUUCUCUUGCCUUUUGCACCUUUUUUUCAUAUCUAAUGUAUAUUUCCUUUGUGCCCAUCUUCUCCGUAAGAGCAUAUUAAUGGACACUGCAUGGCCAUGAAUUUUGAAUGGUUCUAUGGUAUUCUUCUUGGCCACGUAUCUUUGUACUAAACAAUGAUAUCCUAUCCUUUUCUAUUCUCUGUUGUAUCAUUGACAAUCUAGGCUGCAACUUCAGUUGCAGAUGUCAUGUUGUGUCGUCUUAAUUUCAAGUUGUGAUAGUCGCCUUCUUUGAAUUUAUCCUUGCCAUUCUGAGUUUUUUUGCUAGUCUAUUAUCUCUAUCCAACAUAGUUUUAAGCCCCUCAACAAUGUGAGGAUCUGUUGACUCCCUUUUAUCUUCUAAUUUGUAUGCAUUAAUCCUAUUUUGUCCUGUUCAAUUUUCCAAAUUCAGCAUCAGUUUACAGAUUUGUAUUGUCUUAAUAGAACAUACAUAUGUGGUGCUUUUUUCUAUGUCCUCGGUUUUUAUGUUUUGCACUUUGUGUUACAUUUAGUCAUGUACACAUGCAUAAUAGAAAUACCAGGUUUAUGGAUGCCCAAACCGUAUAUCUUGAUUUAAUUUUCUUGUUACUUAUGUCGUGGUCUUACCAGCCUGACUGAUUAUUGAUUUUUUUGUGCCACGGGUUCUCCAUUGCUCUUUUUUAUUCCUGUUCCUGUAUAGUCUUACAUGUAGCUAUCUCUAUUGAAUUGCUCUGCACAAACAUAAAUACCAUUUAGUAGAAAAAUGAGAUUUUUUGCAGCAUGAGCAAUUUAUUACUUGUAAUAGUGGUCAAUGUACAUGAUUAACAUCUGUACAAGAUAUGGUUCCCUGUGGAAAUUCAACAAUGUUGAUUUUGCCUCUGUCUUGGCUAAGCUAAAGUGCACGGAAAUGUGUUCUCAUGUUUUUGAAAAAGAAAUAAUUGAUAUCUACAGCCAGGACCAAAUGCAACAUGUUUUUUUAAUAUUUAUUUAAUAGAGAACCUCAAAUUAGUUGUAGAUCAUAAUGGAAAUGCAUAGGUGGCCUUGCACCAUAACCAUUUGUGUAUGAUAAACUCUGUUAGAUCAAAUAUUUGUACAUCAAAUUGAUUGAUUUAAUGAAGAAUUUUUUGUAAGCUUGGAAAGAAUUGAACACAUAGAUAACACAAUUGAUGUGCAAAGCAGAAGCAAGCUAUAAUGCUGGUUCCAGUAUACCUUACUACAUUUGUGCAUCAUGUAACGGGCAUUUAGCAGUUGAAGUAAAUAUAGUGGAUGAUAAUACACAUAAGGAAAUAACUUUGUAAAUAUUUGCUCACCGCACGUAGUUCAUAGGUUGUUCUUUCGGCAUAGUUGUCGGUCUGGCACAUCUCCAUGCAUGUAUGAUCAAAAGUUGUCUCUUUUUCUUGUCUUGAAGUUUCGUUCUCCUCUCAUAUCUUGUCGUUGUUUAUUGACUGGACUCACAUCAAUCAGAUGACAAUCUGGAAUUAUUUUCCCCACCCAAGCUUAAAUCACAAACCCGCAUGUGCCUAACUUGAAUUUUUGCAUUGCAUAUUUUAGUUGUUAACACUCAUGUGAUAUCUCCUAUUAAAGAUGGUUAGUAAUGGAUCAGCUUGUUGGAUUGCACAUUUGAUGAUUUUAACCAUCUUGGAAGGUUUCUCUCAUUUUUGCUAUGUGGCACACCUUUUGAUUUAUGUUUCUUCCUGCGCAAUGAGAAUGCAUACAUCAUUAAAGAAGAUGAUAUUGUAAAAAUGUUAUCGAGUAUUGCUCAAGGUUAAGAAGAUUUAUGAUUUUGAUUAUUUUCUAGCUUACAGUUUUAUUUCUUUGUUGUCAAAGUAAAAGAGAUCAACUUCCAAGAACAGUGGAUGUUAAGUUCCAAUCUUCAUGUGAAAACACAAAUAUUGUGAGUAUCUUUUACCCCUAGUAUUGUAGUUACAUGCAAUUCCAUAAAUGCAUAUAUUUAGCAAAGAAUAAGAUUGUAAUUGAGGAUUGCAAGUUCAUGUACAAUUAGGACUGAACAAUUGGAAGUGGAACUGACGGCCUGAUCCAAACUUAAAAGCUAUUUGAUUGUGUUGUCAUACCAUGAAUUGAAGACAUUGGUUGUACUGCCAAUUCUGUUGUUGUUGCUGACAAAAGAUUGAACUCUAAGAAUAAGAUGAUUGCAAUGAGGAUAUGAAGUUGAUGUACAAUAACCAUUGAGAAGUUGCAAGGGGAGCUUAGGACAUGAUUUAAAACUAAUUGAUUGUGUUUUCAUACCUUCAGUUGAAGACGUAAGUUGUAGUGUCAGAUUCUUUCUUGUUGUUGAGAAAAGAUUGAACUUUAAAUCAGUUCUAUAUGAUCUCUUCAGAUGGUACUUAUUGGAGAUGGUCUGCUCGCCCAAUGGAGCCGAUGGCGCAAUCAAGGAGAUUGGGGCGCUCGCUCGUGAGAAGUUUUUAGGGAAAGCCAUUUGUGGCUGUGUAUAUUAAUUUGGAAUAAUAUCUACAUAAUCAAUUCAACCUAUCAUGAUUAUUGUUUAUGGGAUUGUAAGAUUGAUUGUGAGAUUUGUGUGUUAGAAUGUGCGACGAAUGGUAAGAUUGACCGUCAUAUGAGUGCAUAGGACAUGGGAAUGAAAACAAAAGGGUGUAGGCUUUGAUAGUUUGGGAUUAUGAAUCAACGCACGUACCUUGGCUUGGGCCGUUGCUGACAAUGCGGAUUGCUGGGCGAGCCACCUCGGAGGGGAUGUCAUAUGCCUUCUAGUCCUGCUGCGUGAGCCACCUUGGAGUGGACGGCAUGUGCCUCCAAGUCCUCGCUCGCGAUUUUUGACCUCAGAGGAAGGACGUAGGACUGGUAGGCAUGGUGUAGCCAAGCUAGGGUUCCUUAGCAUAGGGUUUCCUGUUAUUUU
rnacentral:lncRNA from 1 species